rnacentral:ncRNA from 1 species
CCGCGCCCGUUGCUUGAGGGUUACGGCCCUCUUGCCUGCGCGCCAAAUCUGGUCGUGCCGCUGCCCGGUUGGGCACCGCCAUGCGCACCUACAGGGACCACCGGCUACCGGCGAGGCCUGGCGCAGUUUCCCCAUCGAGCAAUCGGCGGGGCGACGUGGAUAGCACGAUAGGUCG